rnacentral:tRNA from 1 species
GAAAAUCCGUCGACUUUUUAUUUUAAAUCAUGAGGGUUCAAGUCCCUCUAUCCCCAA